UCCUUAAGUCAAAUCGUUGAUAAAUUCGCACAAAAUGCCUUAAUAUGUUAAAUGGGACUAAAUCAUGAAUAAUUUGUCACGCUAUUGAAUUCUGCCUUUCAAACGUGCGAAUAUGUUUCGAUCUGCUGGUUAUAACUGAACGAAUUCGAAAAAGAAUCAGAUAAACUACGCUUCGGGAUGUUGGGAAACUUGGAGUUGUUAUUAUUCUUGAGAAACGAGCUCUAGGUAAAAGAAAUUAAAAGGUCUGGAGGUGGAACAACAAACGAGUUGUGAAAUAUAGAGAAAAAAUUUUCUGGGUAAACUAUUUGAUAUUGAAUAAUAAAAUUUGGGUUUAUCUACAGAACGAAAAAAAACUCAAAAUUAAAAGUAUCGUAUAUUAUAUUAGUACUAAGAUAUUGGUUAUAAGGUAUAACUUUUCUAAUUUUCAUAAUAUCUGAUUCAAAUUCUGUAUGAACUUUGUAUUGCACAGAAAAAACUGAAAAGAUAAGGUAUCUUAAAAUUAUCUGAAUGGUAAGGUAGAAUAAAAAAAACUUAAGAAACCACAUCAUAGAUAUAAAACAAAAAUAAUGUACAAAAUGUAAAAAAAAAUAAAGAAUAUUUACAAUACAUAACAACAAUAUUGUGAGAAGGACUGGAAUAACUUCUU